GAUGAACGCUGGCGGCGUGCCUAAUACAUGCAAGUCGAGCGAACGGACGCGAAGCUUGCUUUUCUGAUGUUAGCGGCGGACGGGUGAGUAACGCGUGUAUACCCUACCUAUCAGACUGAGAUAACUUCGGGAAACCGGCGCUAAUACCGGAUAAUCUUUUGAACCGCAUGGUUCAAUAGUAAAAGACGGUCUUGCUGUCACUACUCGAUGGAUCCGCGCUGCAUUAGCUAGUUGUUAAGGUAACGGCUUACCAAGGCAACGAUGCAUAGCCGACCUGAGGGGGUGAUCGGCCACACUGGAACGGAGACACGGUCAAGACUACUACGGGAGGCAGCAGUAGGGAAUCGUCCGCAAUGGGCGAAAGCCUGACGGAGCAACGCCGCGUGAGUGAUGAAGGUCUUCGGAUCGUAAAACUCUGUUAUUAGGGAAGAACAGAUGUGGAAGUAACUGUGCACAUCGUGACGGUACCUAAUCAGAAAGCAACGGCUAACUACGUG
rnacentral:rRNA from 1 species